rnacentral:lncRNA from 1 species
CCGCGGGCCACGCGACGGGGACCCCAGGGUGCGCGCAGGUGGCGGGGACGCGCGAUGGGGGCCCGGGAAGCUGAGGCUGACCUAGCGCAGGCAUCCCAGGAGGGGAGGUCCCUGACGCUGCGCAGCUGGGAAGGCGUUCGGGAGUGGGUUGCGAUGCUUCCCUGUUUGUUUUCUCCUGACAUCGUUUUUGUUUGGGUCCAGGGGCCUCACGGGAGCUGGAUGCUCGGAGCAGCAAGGCGGCCCUGGGGGCCCCUUCCGGUCCCGGGGCUGACGCCUGGCGGCGUCUCCGGGAACCCGCGCCCUUUCAAGCGCCGCUGGCUCCUGUUUCACAGAUGGAGACCCUGAAGCCCCAACAAGCAGCCUCCCCAGCACCUCCCAGUGACUGAAAAAGCUGGCACUGGGCGCCCGUCUCACUCUCCACCCAGCUCCCAGGCUGCCCCACGGGACCAGCACCUUUGGGGAGAGACGAGACCUGAACAAACGCUGGGGCUGGAUCCCCAGGGUGGGUCAGAACAGCCGUUGCCCUGAAAGCUGGCCCGGACAGAUGCGUGCGGGGCGUGCCACCGGAGCUCCUUCCAGCUUGCGUCUGGGGCCACCAUGUCCCUUCCUCAGGGCACUGGAUCCAUCUCUUCAAGCUCAGUGGUCCAGGCCAUGGUGGCAGAAUCACCCCCCAGGGUGUGACGCCUCGUCCCUGUCAAUUCCACACAGCUGCACCCGGAAGAGCUGUGGCCGGGCGCCGCUCUGACCUGUGUGCGGUCCCCUGAAUGGGUCUCAGGUGUCUUCAGAAUGGUGAGGCCGCCUCAUUUCCUCACCACACAACCCUCCUGAGGACGUUGCCUGCAAAUGGGCGGAAUUCCUAAUUUCUACCAUUCAGUUAAACGAGGGAUCCUUAAGCCCCAAAGCUGGGAAAGCUGUCCGUUAAUUUAGUGCGCGUGGGCCGUCUCAGAACAGCAGGGUUCCCAGGAGUCCAGCGGGACGGGGGAGGGGAUGAGUGGCCGUGUCCCCCUGGCAGAGAAGGCCUUGUCUGAAGGCUACGCCCGCCUCCGGUACAGGGACACCUCCUUGCUCAUCUGGCAGCAGCAACAGCAGAAGUUGGAGUCGGUGCCACCUGGGACGUACCUGAGCAGGAGCCGAAGCAUGUGGUACUCACAGUAUGGAAAUGAGGCCAUCUUGGUCCGAGACAAAAACAAGCUCGAGGUCUCUAGGGACACAGGGCAGUCCAAGUUUUGCACAAUUAUGUAAUUCCGAUGUGAGCACCUGAACCCAGGACCACACUUUGAGGAAAACAGACCUGAGUUUCAUUCAGUUGUCUUGUUGAUUUCCAAUCCUUGCUGGAAGAUUUUGAAUAAUGAACGUGAAGAUCAAACUGUGGUGUAAGAACCCAAGAAGCGCAGAAUUGGCCCCCGAACCCCUCAGCACAGCCGCGGUGUGACUGGUGCACAGGACACUUCCCCUCUAGAGUCCCCUCCGUGGUCAGCUGUUGUGACAUUUGAAUUCUCCAGCUGUGCAAGUUCAUUCGCAAACGUCCUAGAAGUGGAACUGCUGGGUCAAAGUGCAUUCCCCAAAUGUCCUGCCAGAGGCCUGGUCGGCAGCAGCCUCCUGCACAGCCCGAGUCCCUUCUGCGAGAGUCCUGGCUUGUUUGCAGCCUGCAGCUGGGAGAUUUGAAGUCAGACUUCCAGGAUUGCCGCAUGGAGCUGCAGAGGGAGUGAGCAUGGGGCUGGAGGACCUGCCCCGCCGGCUGACACUCCCACAGCAAGGCGGGCCCGCCAAGGAAGCACUCCACAUCCGCUAGGCCUAGUUCCAGAGCUGUCAUUCUUCGGCGAGCCGCGCUGCACGCCAGCCUCCAGUCUGGCAGUUAAACCUCACUAUGAAAAUCUGCUUUUGGGAUUUUAUUUGCAUUUCCAUUAGACUGAGCGCAUCACAAGCCACUUCAGGAUAGACUGAGGUGCAGAGGGAGGGGACAAGCGGCCAGGUUGACUAGAAGAGCACAGAACCUGGCUGUCUCGAAGAGGGCAGCUUGUUCCAGGGAACCAAUGAACUGUCAGUAAAGGGGAUUGUGGCUUCCUAGUGAGGCAAGAAAUGAUGCUCCCUUCAUCCUGCCAGGGCUCAGGACAAGAGCUACUUAAUGGUUUGAUUAUUAUUAUUUUUUAAGAGAUGUUGUCCAGGCUGGAGUGCAGUGAUGCAAUCAUGGCUUACUGCAGCCUCAAACUCCUGGCCUCAGGCCAUCCUCCUGCCUCAGCCUCCCAAAGUGCUGUGAUCACAGGCACGAGCCACUGCAUCCUGCCUUUAAAUGGUUUUUUGGGGCCCCUUUUGGAUGCUCUGGGUGUUUUUGCCAAGAGUUACAGGAUGUCAAGUGUGGGGAGCUCAGCACCCUUGCUGUGGACCAGUGAAGGCUGUUCCAGACCAGGUGCUUCCAGACAUUUCCAGGCUCCAGGAGAGAG